AGCUGCAAGUGAGACUGGAAAAAUGGCUCUCAGAGUUCCCGCCUCUGCAGUAGAGGAAGACACUCCAGAAGGAGUUGAGAAUGGGUGCUGAGUGCCUCUUCAGGAUGUCUGUCACACCUCAGGAAACCUGCCAGGAAUACCAAAGGGAGUGAAAAAUCCAAGGUUGGGAAGCCCUGGGACAUUGAAGUUACAACUGGACGAUAAAAACAGAGUUUUUUCCUUGUGACGUGACCACUGUGAUGUAAAGCUGUAUCUCCUUCAUUUCAUCAAGAAAUUCUUAAAAUUCUCCCCCAACGUGCUUUCAUCUUUCCCUUCAUUGCCAACUCUGUAAGAAGUACCACGCCUUUUCUUUGAAUCUGAUUCUCCUCCAAGAAGCAAUGCUUCUCUGAGGCUUUCACCUUUGCUCACAUCAAAGCCCCCACACUGAAUAAAUACCAUCCUUACAUGCCCUUCCAGAGACUCCACUAAUGGACGAGCUUCAUCCAGCAAAAGAUAACUGGGGAAACUUCAGCAAAAGGACUGUUGAUGAAAAUUUGCUGUAUUUGAUUAUAUAGCUAAGACUAAAACAGGGAACAUGGUUGGAAUUAUACUAAGUAAAUAUGAUAUGUUCUCACAAAGUAGAAAGAAUGCAACUAACUAAUAUAGAAGAAGAGGGAAAGUAAAAUAGUAUUGUUUACAAUUUUAUAGGUAUUGGGUGUGAGUUAAAUUAUACCACUUAAAAUGAACAGAACAGACAGUAAAAAGUGAAGUAAGAAAAAAGGACAGAGGUAUCAUAAAAGAUACAAAUUCAGAGGUAUUGAAAUACUUAUGCAUCAAAACAACUAUGGCAAAAUUUUACUGAUUCAGUAUUAUGCCUAUGAAAAUUAUUCAGUUCAGUGAUUUGGAGAAGAGGGUAAAGAAAUGUUUACACAUCAGAAUCUGUGGAGGGGAGAAUGUGUGUCUGGAAAGAAAAUGGUAUUUUGUCUCAUUGGUUUGAUUUGUUUUUAGUUAUAAUAUUUCAUCUAUUUUGAAUUUUAUAAAAAUAACAGUAAUGUAUGUGAUUUUUAUGCUGAUGAAGAGAAAAUGGAUUCAAAAAGGUUAAGAAACACUAAUCCAAGGGAGCCUCCAGAAUAAUUGUGGCCAUCUGAAUUUGAACCUCCUCACAGAACCCUUAAAUUCAACAGGAGCACAAGAUAAUCACCCAUGGUCCAUGCCUUCAGCGUUAGUGGAAGAUGGAGGAUACCGCAAAUGUUAAGUGACCAAUAAGUAGAGAAACAAACACCAUAUUCCCAAUGAACUCCCAUCACUUAUACCCACUGUAAGCUGUGUGCAGAGAGUGGGAGAGAGAAGACUUAAAAUCCCCAGGAAAAAGAGGAAAGAGGCAGAGAAAACUUAGACAUAGCAUAAACAAAAUCACCUCCAGAAAGUAAAAGUUUCACUGCUAAGUGACACAUUCACAGCACAGUUAAAGGGAAGGGGAUUGAAAAUAAGCAGAACCAGAAGUAGCAGCUUCAAAGGAGCAUUGCUUCUUGGGGAGAAUCACAUAAACUAAGAAACAGUAGUGCUCCUUAGAGACUUGAUAGUGAUGAGAAAGAAGGAGCUAAGAGGGAAAAAUAGAGGAUCUUGCAGAAAUUAGAGAGAAAUAAGACAUAAUGGCCCACUAUCCCAUUACUACCCAUUUCUGCACUGCACUGACAGGAGAGGAUAUUCCUGAAUUAAGAACCUGUCCAAAAAAUUUUAAAAUAAAUUUUAAAAAGCAACCUAAUUCCAAAAAGAGCUACUAUUAGAAGAACACAUACACACACAAAUGCGAAUCAUUACAGUUUAACUGAUGAGAAUUCUUAACCAAAACCAACCAAAGAGCAGAAGAAAACUGUAACCCAACAUUCCAAACUGAAGUAGUUAUCUUCAAACAAUGGGACGUAUUUAGAAAAAAAAAAAAACCCAGAAACAGAAAUUUGAUAACUAAGGCCAUAGUGGGCACAAAAUAGGAAGACAUGCAAUGAGUUGAUUGAGCUAUGGAAUGAAAUUCAAGAAAAAUACAAAAUCAUUUCAAAAAUGAAGAAUAGAUUACAAGGUAGUGAGGGAUAGUAGAUUUGAACAUUGAACAAUUUCAACAUUGAAAAGGGGCAGUAAAAUAACGAAGGGAAUAAAGAAGGAUGUAAACAGGGUUAAACACAAGUGAUUGGAAUGGAGGAUGGGCAAAUAGGAUCCAACAUACAUAUGAUAGGAGCUCCUGGAGAAGAAAAACAAAGCAAUGGAAUGGAACUGUAAUUCAAGAAAACUUUCCAGAAAGAAGAGAAAAUAUAAUGAAUACUUGUCAUUGAAAUUAGGGCCCACCUGGAUAAUCCAUGAUGAUCUCAUCUCAAGAUCCUUAACUUAAUGACAUCUGCAGAGACUGGUUUAUCAAAUAAGGGACUGUGGCUAUAUCGCUGACCUCAAGAAAACCUGCGGACAAAAUCUGCUAAAGAAGUAUCAGCAUCUAUUUCAAAAGUUAGCCAUUAUUUUAAGAAGACUGUGCUGGAAGACGGGUAUUUAACACAAACAGAUGCAAAAGAUACGGGGUUUCACCGUGUUGACCAGACUGAUUUUGAACUUCUGGGCUCAAUCAGUCCACCUGCCUCGGCCUCCCAAAGUGCUGAGAUUAUAGGUGUGAGCCCCUGCGCCUGGCCAGGGAUGCCGUUCUUCACUCUCCAAUUGAGCAGCCAUUAUAUAUCAGGCACUAUAGGAGUUCCUGGAGGAUACUGGUCUGAAGUUAGCAUGAUCUUGACUCAAGAAACUUAUAGUCCUGAUAAGAACUUCCACCAGAAUUCCAGAUAAGGCAGCACAGGCCUUGCUGUUUGCCCAUGCCCAUGCGGUCAGCUCUCUUGGGUACCGUGGCAUGCAGAUGCAGACACUCACCC
rnacentral:lncRNA from 1 species